AUGGCCAGCAGCAAGGAUCCGAAGCUGUGGCUGAGCAGGCAGCCGGCGGGAAAGGUGGCCGGCGAGGGAGCUGCGGACCGCGGCGGGGAAGGGCGGCCGAUGAGGGAGCUGUGGACCACAGCAGGGAAGGGCGGCCGACCGGCGAGGAAGCUGCGGACCACGGCAGGGAAGGACGUCGGAGAUGCGGACGACGGAGGUGCCCGGCAAAAGGGAGCAGCGACGGCGGAGAAGCCUGGCGGAGGGGAGGAGCGACGGAGGAAGACGCCUCCCGAUCGAUUUCAGAUCGGGGGUAGUAUUGUACUUUCACACUGUUUCACCUGA
rnacentral:rRNA from 1 species